ACUGAGUCUUAACAUCUGCAGUAGAAGGAGGAAGUGGCUUUCUGAGUCACACACUACAAAUUAAGAGAAGAGGAAACGUCUGUGGGUAACCGUGUGUGUGUGUGUGUGUGUGUGUGUGUGUGUGUGUGUGUGUGUGUGUGUGUGUGUGUGUGUGUGUGUGGUAGGUAACAGUUCGUAGUUUAAAUCUCCUCCUCAGUCUGUGUGUGUGUGUGUGUGUGUGUGUGUGUGUGUGUGUGUGUGUGUGUGUGUGUGUGUGUGUGUGUGUGUGUGUGUGUGUGUGUGUGUGUGUGUGUGUGUGUGUGUGUGUGUGUGUGUGUGUGUGUGUGCAGUAACAACUGUUCUUUCCGUCUCCUUUCCUUCCUGACACAUGCAUACAUACAUUUGCAUAGAGCUGUUAUCUGGGGUGUGUGUGUUAGAUAGGGCUGAUUUGCCUGGCUGAAGACACAAAGCAGGGUUAUAGAGCCACUAGGGUUAGAGUUAGGGGUAGAGCAGGGCCAACCAGACACAGUAGAGAGAGAAAUAUGUAGAGGUAGAGAGAGAGAGGUAGAGAGAGAGAGGUUGAGAGAGAGAGAAAGAGAGAGAGAGAAAUAUGUAGAGUGAGAGAGAGAGAGAAAGAGAGAGAGAGAAAUAUGUAGAGGUAGAGAGAGAGAGGUAGAGAGAGAGAGAGAGAGAGAGAGAGAGAGAGAGAGAGAGAGAGAGAGAGAGAGAGAGAGAGAGAGAGAGAGAGAGAGAAAUAUGUAGAGGUAGAGAGAGAGAGGUAGAGAGAGGAGAGAGAGAGAGAGAAAGAGAGAGAGAGAAAUAUGUAGAGGUAGAGAGAGAGAGGUAGAGAGAGAGAGAGGUAGAGAGAGAGAGAAAGAGAGAGAGAGAAAUAUGUAGAGGUAGAGAAAGAGAGAGAGAGAGGAGAGAGAGAGAGAGAGAGAGAGAGAGAGAGAGAGAGAGAG